rnacentral:rRNA from 1 species
UACGUAGGGUGCGAGCGUUGCCCGGAUUUAUUGGGCGUAAAGGGCGCGUAGGCGGCCACGCACGUCCGUUGUGAAAUCGCCCGGCUCAACUGGGCGGGGUCAGCGGAUACGGUGUGGCUAGAGCAAGCUAGGGGGCAAUGGAAUUCCCGGUGUAGUGGUGGAAUGCGUAGAUAUCGGGAGGAACACCAGUGGCGAAGGCGGUUGCCUGGAGCUUUGCUGACGCUGAUGCGCGAAAGCCGUGGGGAGCGAUCCGG